AACGAACGCUGGCGGCAUGCCUAACACAUGCAAGUCGAACGAGACCUUCGGGUCUAGUGGCGCACGGGUGCGUAACGCGUGGGAACCUGCCCUUAGGUUCGGAAUAACUCCCCGAAGGGGGUGCUAAUACCGGAUAAUGUCUUCGGACCAAAGAUUUAUCGCCUUUGGAUGGGCCCGCGUUGGAUUAGCUAGUUGGUAGGGUAAAAGCCUACCAAGGCGACGAUCCAUAGCUGGUCUGAGAGGAUGAUCAGCCACACUGGGACUGAGACACGGCCCAGACUCCUACGGGAGGCAGCAGUGGGGAAUAGUGGACAAUGGGCGAAAGCCUGAUCCAGCAAUGCCGCGUGAGUGAUGAAGGCCUUAGGGUUGUAAAGCUCUUUUACCCGGGAUGAUAAUGACAGUACCGGGAGAAUAAGCGCCGGCUAACUCCGUG
rnacentral:rRNA from 1 species